rnacentral:rRNA from 1 species
CAAGUCGAGCGGCAAGUUAGGUAGUAAUACUUAACCUAGAGCGGCGCACGGGUGCGUAACGCGUAUGCAACCUACCUUUUACUGGGGGAUAGCCCGGAGAAAUCUGGAUUAAUACCCCAUGGUACCUAGAGGUCGAAUGACUUUUAGUUUAAAGAUUUAUCGGUAAGAGAUGGGCAUGCGUCUGAUUAGCUAGUUGGGGGGGUAACGGCCCACCAAGGCGACGAUCAGUAGGGGUUCUGAGAGGAAGGUCCCCCACACUGGCACUGAGAUACGGGCCAGACUCCUACGGGAGGCAGCAGUAGGGAAUAUUGGGCAAUGGUCGCAAGACUGACCCAGCCAUGCCGCGUGCAGGAAGACGGCCCUCUGGGUUGUAAACUGCUUUUAUCUGGGAAGAAAAAGUCCAUGCGUGGAAAAUUGCCGGUACCAGAUGAAUAAGCACCGGCUAACUCCGUGCCAGCAGCCGCGGUAAUACGGAGGGUGCAAGCGUUGUCCGGAUUUAUUGGGUUUAAAGGGUGCGUAGGCGGCUGAAUAAGUCAGCGGUGAAAGACUUCGGCUUAACCGGAGCAGUGCCGUUGAUACUGUUUAGCUUGAGUGUUGGAGGGGUACAUGGAAUUGAUGGUGUAGCGGUGAAAUGCAUAGAUACCAUCAGGAACACCGAUAGCGAAGGCAUUGUACUGGCCAACAACUGACGCUGAGGCACGAAAGUGUGGGGAUCGAACAGGAUUAGAUACCCUGGUAGUCCACACUGUAAACGAUGAUUACUCGCUGUUAUGGUGAAUGCUGUAGCGGCCAAGCGAAAGCGUUAAGUAAUCCACCUGGGGAGUACGCCGGCAACGGUGAAACUCAAAGGAAUUGACGGG